AAUUGUGAAGAUCAGCCAAGAAGAUGAGUAAAUGGUAUAAACUUGACAAACUGUAAGACAAUUGAAAUACCAUAAAAAACACCAGGCUGGUCUGGUUAGGAGGAGAAAUCUUGCAUUCAGAUUGAACAAAACCCUGAGAUCCCAGGACAAGUGCUCAGUCGGCGAGACAGAGGACCUUCUUGGGCAUCAAGAUCUGCUCAAAGUUUGACCCCUCUGGGCCUCUGUUUCCUCAUUUAUCAUAAUGAGGAAAACUGGAUGAUUUCUGAGGCCCCGUUCUACGUUUCUACAAUGGCUUGUGUUAUUUUAAAGGCACCAAGUGAAGAAAUUGCAAGUCAUACAGUGGAAGUAUGCACAGAAAAGAUUUCAACCUCAAAUAAAAUCUGGCACUGAAGUUUCACUCUCCUCAUGGAACAAAUGUAUCAAGACUUGGUCAGAACUGAAGGCCAGAACACUUUCAAAAGUGAAGGGUUACAAGCUAAGGAA